rnacentral:lncRNA from 1 species
CCCGGGGAGCAGCGUGUUGGUGCUGGAGGAGGGGGCUCAUCGGAGGGAGGUAAGAGCCCCCCCCCCCGCACCCCCAGACCUUCAUCACCCCCAAAACCUGAGGUUUAAUCCUUUUCCCCUCCCCCCCCAACCCCACAGACGGUGCUUGAAAUCAUCCAGGGGAAGCGGGUGCCCAUCUCCCUCUGGAUCCUGGUGGGGAGCAUCCUGGGGGGGCUGCUCCUCCUGGCCCUCAUCAUCUUCUGCCUGUGGAAGCUGGGCUUCUUCACCCGCAAGAAGCCCCCCGAGGAAGAGGAGGAGGAGGAGAAGAAGGACGAGCAGUGAAGGCAGGAGGUGGCCCCUCGAACCGGCGCCGCGGGGGGGGG